rnacentral:lncRNA from 1 species
GAUGAUCUCGAUCUCUUGGCCUUGUGAACCACCCGCCUCAGCCUUCCAAAGUGCUAGGAUUACAGGCAUGAGCCACCGUGCCCAGCCCAGCUAUCCAUUUUUAUUAGCAAUGUGACUAAUACUAAGGAGUUCAAAACUGUAGGCACAGUGAACAAGACAGGAGUCAAUUGCAAUAACAAAACAAGCGAAGUAGAAAUCAUUUUUAAAAACAAGAGACUAUUUAUUAUUUAUAUUAAAAAUGUUGGUUGAAGAAACAUAUGUUUUUCUCCAGUAUAAAAAAUUAAUACAGGCUACAACUCGGAAUAAUUUUGCCACUUGAGCACAUAUCUUCUACCACUGAAAUAUCUGUAUCAUUAAAGCACAGAGAUUUGCCAGACAUUACAAGAUAAGUAAGUGUCAAAACGAAGAAUCAAACAGAAACUCAGCUAGCAUUCCUGGACUUUCUAACUUCUGGAUCAUACUUACAUGUGUUUUAUGAACAAUUAACCCUAUUUAAGGAUAUCUUCAUUAAACAACUGCAAGGUAUUCUUCCUGUAAUUUUUUUUAAAUGUGGUUUUCAAAAGAAUAUAAUAAAAGAAAAAGCAAAAAAUGCUAUAUGUACUAUCUCUAUUAAUCAACUGAUUAAUUAUUUGAAAAUCUAGUAAUUGAUUUUUCAGACUCAUUCCAAAAACAAUCCCCUAGUUAUAUACAAGACAUAAUUCAUAUGUAACAUGAUAUGUCCUUUAAACUUUGUUAAAGGGUUGUCAAUAAUAAAAUGAUAUAAAUUCUUAUCACCUUUAAGAACAAUGACUCUAAAGUCUCAAGUGAGAAGAAAUAUAUAAAGUUUAUUUUCUGGAAACUGUUUGCUUAUUAGUAUUAUGUAGAAGUUUGAAUUUUGCUUUCGCGCUUACAAGCAAACAAUACUGUAGUCUUUACCGUUUACAUAAUGAUAUCAGCAUAAGUUUCAAAGAAAAAAAUUACUUUCAAAUAUACAAACUAUUUUUACUUUCAAAUUGCUAAUUUUAGUUUUUAAGAGUAUUUAUAGACUUAAAUUGAGUAUAUAUUAGCAGAAAGUUUAUAUUUCAUAUUGACAAUUUAUUGGUCAAUAACUUAAAAAUUCUUAUCUUUCACUAUGAGGAAAUAGAAAGAAUGUCAAAAUCUUUGAAGAUUACCAGAGAUUUUAAGUACAUGUCUUCCAUAUAAGCAGUAACUUUGUUUCAAGUUACCUUUAAGCACUAUUUUUGGUUAAUAAAAUAAGUAGGUCAGGCCUGGUGGCUCAUGCCUGUAAUCCCAACACUUUGGGAGGCCGAAGCGAGCAGAUCACUAGGUCAGAGGUUUGAGACCAGCCUGGCCAACAUGGUGAAACCCCAUCCCUAUUACAAAUACAAAAAUUAGCUGGGCAUGGUGGUGGGCGCCUGCAAGCCCAGCUACUCGGGAGGCCGAAGCAGGAGAAUCCUUGAACCCGGGAGGCAGUUGGCUGCGGUGAGCUGAGAUGGCGCCACUGCACUCUGCUCUGGGCAACAGAGUGAGACUCCGUCUCAAAAAAAAAAAAAAAAAAAAAAAAAAAAAAAAGAAAAGAAAGAAAAAGAAAAGCUUAAUUUCUGGAAAAAUAAAAACGAACUCCAGGAACCUAAUAUCUUUCCAUGUUACUUCCACAGUUUGGUAGAGUAAAUAGAAAGCUCUUUUCUUUUUGAGAUUUAGAAAUAUUACUUUAUAAAAAUUAUAUUUAGAAUGCUCCAAUAAGUUUUUUUGGUUUACAUUUGAUAAUUCUUUAGGUGUAUAUAAUUUCACAUUCUUAAAUAUUUUGAAUAGUUCUAGAUAUUUAUUUAUACUUGUUAAAUACUAUAACACAUUGUGACUAAAUAUAUUUCUUAUAAUUCAUUCAUUAUGUAAUUCAGAUAUUCCAGUUUCCAGUUUAAAGUGGACAUAUUUUUAUAACUAUUACAUAAGUAAAUGAUAUUGAGAAAUAUAUGUGAAAACUCAUUACUUUUACACACUGUGAUAUCUUUCUCUAAAGUCUCAUUUGGGGUGCUUUGUGAAAAGGUUUCUGUUUUGUGUUAUUUAGAUGAUGAAAUAAAUAUCUUCUAUAAAGUUAUACAUUUUUAUUUUUAUUUUUUAUAAUUUCAUGCAAGUGUUCACUCUUUUCUAAUAAAACAUUUCUUAGAAAGAAAGCUAUCCAUUUUAGGGGGAGACUUUAUUGUUAUUCCAUAAUUGAUUGGAGUCUAUAAGUUUAUGUUUACACCUUUUGCAUAUUUAUUUUUUCAAUUUUAUAUAGUUAUAAAAAUAUUAUGAAACAAAAUUUGAGGAUGGAAACUUAUAAUUUUAUACCUUUUUAAAUUGCCAGGUAAUAUAAUUCUUCUGUGGCAAACUAAUAAUUUUCGAGUAAGUUUGUGACACAGAUGAGACGAAUUUCUCUUUCUAGGUAAACAAUGAAACAUUAAUUUGCUAUCUCUCCUUGAAACUCUGCUUUUAAUAUCUUAAAAUCCCUUG